UGCGCUGGAAACGUGAUGUUCUUGCCUAUGUGGGAACUCUGGCCCUGCUGGUGGAGAUGUAAAAUAAAAAAAAGUUCUUAGGGUGCUCCGGGUGCAUAACAGAAAACGGCCAGCACUAAAAGUUACUUUUGGAGAAAUAAGUGUUGUGUUGUAGGUUUGCUCAAGUGCUGCGUCUCGAAGAGUGGCUAAAGGUUUGUACAAGCAGGACUGCGUGUGCUCCAGUAGGCUGAAGACUGCCUCCUUAUAAAACCUUUAACCCAACAGUGAACACAAAACCCGUUUAAUACUAUUAUAAGUAAGAGUUGUACUUUUUUUUUUUUCCGAGGUCACUGGGAAGCGUGGGACAAUAAUGGAAUGACGACUGCUUGCAGGCCCUAGCAGGGAGAGGAGCAGCAGAUAGUGUUGGAAGAGAUUCUGUAGCCAGAUGUGGAGAAAACACCUUCGGCCUGGGCUAGUACUGCUAUGGAACCAUAAUAUUCACUCUGUGAAUCCUGCCAGCUCCAUUGCUUUGUUGAUCUGUCAUUUGCCUUCUAAACGCUCCGGAACUGGAAGAAAUAAAGACUAGAUGCUCAUGCAGUGGGUCAGGUGAGCUCUUACCAGACAGCCUUGUUAAAAUGCCUGAGUCUUGGAUUCAUAUCAAACAACUCUUGUCAUCUUUUCCUAGCAUCUGUCUGGUUUACACAGUGAGGUGUACACAGGUUCUUCUGUUUUGAAACCAGCUUUGUUGUGGGGUUUUCAGCAGAGUUGAUCUUGCUGCGUGCCUUGGCUGUGUACACACAAUUGCCAUCUGAACAGCGGUGUGAUAAUGAACUUGUUUGUCAUACAGGUGACCGUUCAGUCUAAAUGAAAGAGGGAGUUAUGUUUCAGUGUUGUUUCUUUAGGGGUUUUUUUUUUUUUCACUCUGGAACUGGGAUUUGGGCCUACCUUGCUUCUUUCCUAGUGGAAAUCAAUGAUUUUUGUUUCCAUUUUUCCUUUUUUUUUUUUUUUUUUUUUUUUU